ensembl:lncRNA
UGGCCCUAUAGAUACCCUAUAGGCAGUCUCUAUCUCCUCAUAUCCCUAUAGGCACCCUAUAGCGCCCCAUAAGCAUCCUAUAUGUUCCUGUAUCCCGCUAUUUGACCCUAUAGAUACCCUAUAGGCACUCUCUAUCUCUUCAUAUCCCUAUAGGCACCCCAUAGCGCCCCAUAAGCAUCCUAUAUGUCCCUAUAUCCCCUUAUUUGGCCCUAUAGAUACCCUAUAGGCAGUCUCUAUCUCCUCGGAUCCCUAUAGGCACCCUAUAGCGCCCCAUAAUCAUUCUAUAUGUCCCUAUAUCCCCCUAUUUGGCCCUAUAGAUACCCUAUAGGCAGUCUCUAUCUCCUCAUAUCCCUAUAGGCACCCCAUAGCGCCCCAUAAGCAUCCUAUAUGUCCCUAUAUCCCCCUAUUUGCCCCUAUAGAUACCCCAUAGCACCCCAUAGGCGCUCUCUAUCCCCCCUAUAGUCACCCUAUAUCCCUCCAUAAACACUCCCAGCCCCCCGCAUCCCCCUAUAGGCCCCCCCAUAGGCGCUCUAUACGUCCCCGUAUUCCCCUAUAGCCCCCCCCCACCCGUUGGCACUCCAUAACCCCCCUAAAACCCCCCCACCUCCCUCCCCCCCACCUCCCCACGUGCAGCCAUAGGCGCGCCCCCCGCAGCCAAUCAGCGCGCGGCGCGGCGGUCAGAGCCGCAGCUGCCAUGGAGACAGGCGGGGGGCGGAGCCAAUGGGCGGGGAGUGGGCGGGUCCAAUGGGAGGGGGAGUGGGCGGGGCGUGUGAAGCCACGCCCCCCCUCCUGUUUUUUUUUGACACCGCCCACUGCGGGGAGCGCGGGAAAAAAACGGGGGGGGGAGGGGGGAGGUUUGGGGGCGUUGUGGGGUUAUUAUGGGAUGGAGGGGAUGGGGACCUUAUGGGGUCGUUAUGGGAAUGGGGAUAUGGGGACUUUAUGGGGUCAUUAUGGGGUAUGGGGAUAUGGGGACCCUAUGGGGUCAUUAUGGGGUCAUUAUAGGGACUGGGGACAUUAUGGGGUCAUUAUGGGGAUUGGGGACAGUGUGGGGUUAUGGAGAUAUGGGGACCUUAUGGGGUCAUUAUGGAGUAUGGGGGCGUGAGAACAAUAUGAGAACAUUAUGGGGAAUGGGGACAUUAUAGGGGAUGUGCGGGUCUAUGGGGCAUUGUAG